rnacentral:other from 1 species
UUCCCCCUGCGCGGUGCGUGCUUGGGCGUCGUACACAUUUUAGAACCGUCGAUGCCAUUUUUGGGGAUUGUUCCUUGCCGCGGUGAGCAUGCCGAGCACUCAACUUGUAACGGCGCAUAAUAAUGAUUUCAGGCCGUUAUAAGUUGAGUGCUCGGAAGCCUGAAACGGCAAUACGGUCACCCACCUGACUGAGUCGGGUUCAAAAUGGUGACGCCACACGGCCAUUGUGGGGGGAUU